GGAGGAAAAGAAACCAACCGGGAUUGCCUCAGUAACGGCGAGUGAAGCGGCAAGAGCUCAAAUUUGAAAGCUGGCUCCUUCGGGGUCCGCAUUGUAAUUUGCAGAGGAUGCUUCGGGUGCAGCCCCCGUCUAAGUGCCCUGGAACGGGCCGUCAUAGAGGGUGAGAAUCCCGUAUGGGGCGGGGUGUCUGCGUCCGUGUGAAGCUCCUUCGACGAGUCGAGUUGUUUGGGAAUGCAGCUCUAAAUGGGUGGUAAAUUUCAUCUAAAGCUAAAUACUGGCCGGAGACCGAUAGCGCACAAGUAGAGUGAUCGAAAGAUGAAAAGCACUUUGAAAAGAGAGUUAAACAGCACGUGAAAUUGUUGAAAGGGAAGCGCUUGCAACCAGACUCGCUCGCGGGGUUCAGCCGGGCUUCGGCCCGGUGUACUUCCCCGCGGGCGGGCCAGCGUCGGUUUGGGCGGCCGGUCAAAGGCCUCCGGAAUGUAGCGCCCUUCGGGGCGCCUUAUAGCCGGGGGUGCAAUGCGGCCAGCCUGGACCGAGGAACGCGCUUCGGCACGGACGCUGGCAUAAUGGUUGUAAACGACCCGU
rnacentral:rRNA from 1 species